rnacentral:lncRNA from 1 species
UUUACUGUAGCUUUCAUUAUCAUCUCUACGUAACGCUGUAACUAUAUAUAUCAUAAAAAUCAAAUUAAUUAAUGGUCUCACUAACAUAAUCGACACGACAAGAUAACUUUCCCCUCAGAUAGUUUUAUUUAAUUAGACGUUUUUCUAAGCAAGAAACCUAUCAUUUCUUUAUUUUUUUUCAAAAAAAAAUUCUUUUUCAACU